GUGAAAGGAUGAAUGAAAAGUCCGGAGCCGGAGCGCGCCGGGGCCAGAGCCGCGGCAGAGGCAGAGGAGGGAGCUAGGAGACCAAAAAGAAGAAUGUACUUCAUCUGGUUGGGCUGGAUUCCCUCUGAUAAGCCUUCCCAGUUGACUGAAAGAUGAGGCUAGGCUCUAGCAAGUUGAAGUCAAACCAGCUCCUUCAAGAAGCUUUGAGCAGAAUGAAGUGGGGAGGACCCAGCUUCCAGCCCAGGAAGCCCACUGUACCUGGAGCCAUCUGGGAUAAGACUUUGACCCAUGACUCCCAUAUCCACAGCCUGUCCAUCCUAGCCCAUCCCAGUUUAUCCUGUAUCAUUUGAGCUGGGAUUCCCACAUCCUCUGAGUUGGAAGUCCCAUCUCAAGUCUUCAAUAAAGACUCUUGAAUAUUGAAUCACAUUAA
rnacentral:lncRNA from 1 species